AGAUUCAGUUGAAAGUGACGGUGCAAAUACAGCUGCCAAUGAGGAUUCUCUGGAAAGUGAUAAUGACAAUCACUCUGAAAGUGCCAGUGAUGACUCACUUGAACACGAUCCUGAAAAUGACCCGGAAUACACACCUGUCAAUGAUGGUG